UACGUAGGCAGCGAGCGUUGUCCGGAUUUACUGGGCGUAAAGAGCGCGCAGGCGGUCGUACAAGUCGCGUGUGAAAGCCCCCGGCUCAACUGGGGAGGGUCACGCGAUACUGUUCGACUCGAAGGCAGGAGAGGGAAGCGGAAUUCCCGGUGUAGUGGUGAAAUGCGUAGAUAUCGGGAGGAACACCAGUGGCGAAGGCGGCUUCCUGGCCUGUUCUUGACGCUGAGGCGCGAAAGCUAGGGUAGCAAACGGG
rnacentral:rRNA from 1 species